AUGGCGAAAAUUAAAGCCCUAGAAAAACCUUGGCCACCUGCCACUGCCCUACAAAAACCUUAGCUAAUUGGUCUUCUGCUUCUUGAGUCUUUGUCCAUUCUUGGCCAUUUUGCUCUGUUCCAUCCUGAGAAUCAACAAGUUCUUCGCUGGGGAAAGAGCCCUACCAUACUCCACAAAGUGUGCGACCUGCCGUUUGUGUUCUUCAGCGACCCCAUGGUUGCUGCUUGUUAUGGGUGUGGGCAGAACAAGUCCGUUGUUCUGCAGGAACUAAGCAUAGACAUUGCUGCUCUCGUUAUUGAGAUCCUGCAAAAAUAAUCCGCCAGUGUCAUCUGUGCAAUCCAAUUCAAUACAAGAGAACGAUGAAUCAAAUGAAUGUAACCCAAAUGGUGUCGAGUCUAGAAAACCUCAAAUGGACGGAACCAUUAGAGGCAGCCGCAAUGUCAGCAGAAAUCACAAUUUUUGGUUUUUUUUUUUUGCUUACUCCAUCAUAGUAAAGGGGCUCUUCAAGCAAGAAGGCAUCUUAGUAGGAAGGCCGACCACUACAUAAACCGUCAUCAGUCCAGCAGAGAAGUAAGCGGCCUUUCUUUGAUCCACCUUCCCCCCAGGGAA